rnacentral:SRP_RNA from 1 species
GCGCGCUAGACGGGGAACUAGCGGUGCCCUGUGACCCGCAAUCCGCUACAGCGGGGUCGAACAUCCGCCAGAGGCCUUUCGACUUCGUCUCGAAGCCGAGAGAAGUGGCGUCGAGCGUCAGGUCCCGCGCAAUUGGGUCCGGUGAAUCCGGUCAGGGCCGGGAGGCAGCAGCCGUAAGCCGGUAGCCCGAUGUGCCGCGGGGAAGCUUGGCGGGAGCCAACUGGCUCGUUCUUCGUACGGGGGCGGAGGUCGACGCGGACGCGUGU